rnacentral:rRNA from 1 species
AGAGUUUGAUCAUGGCUCAGGAUGAACGCUAGCGGCAGGCCUAACACAUGCAAGUCGAGGGGCAACAGGUGUAGCAAUACAUGCUGGCGACCGGCGCACGGGUGAGUAACGCGUAUGCAACCUACCCAUAACAAGGGGAUAGCUUCCGGAAACGGGAAUUAAUACCCUAUAGCACCUAAAUACCGCAUGGUAUUAAGGUUAAAACUACGGUGGUUAUGGAUGGGCAUGCGUGCCAUUAGUUAGUUGGCGGGGUAACGGCCCAACAAGACUGUGAUGGCUAGGGGGUCUAAAAGGAUGAUCCCCCACACUGGUACUGAGACACGGACCAGACUCCUACGGGAGGCAGCAGUGAGGAAUAUUGGUCAAUGGGCGAGAGCCUGAACCAGCCAUGCCGCGUGCAGGAAGACGGCCCUAUGGGUUGUAAACUGCUUUUGUUUGGGAAUAAAAGGCGCUACGUGUAGUGCACUGAAGGUACCAGAUGAAUAAGCAUCGGCUAACUCCGUGCCAGCAGCCGCGGUAAUACGGAGGAUGCGAGCGUUAUCCGGAUUUAUUAGGUUUAAAGGGUGUGUAGGCGGAAGACUAAGUCAGUGGUGAAAUCCCUCAGCUUAACUGGGGAACUGCCAUAGAUACUGGUUUUCUUGAGUACAGUUGAAGUAGGCGGAAUGUGUAAUGUAGCGGUGAAAUGCUUAGAUAUUACACAGAACACCGAUUGCGAAGGCAGCUUGCUAAGCUGUUACUGACGCUGAUGCACGAAAGCGUGGGGAGCGAACAGGAUUAGAUACCCUGGUAGUCCACGCCGUAAACGAUGAUUACUCGUUGUUGGCGAUAUAUAGUCAGCGACUGAGCGAAAGCAUUAAGUAAUCCACCUGGGGAGUACGGCGGCAACGCUGAAACUCAAAGGAAUUGACGG